rnacentral:rRNA from 1 species
GACGAACCGUGCGAACGUUGUUCGGAAUCACUGGGCUUAAAGGGCGCGUAGGCGGCCUGCCAAGUCAGGGGUGAAAGCCCCCAGCUCAACUGGGGAAGUGCCUUUGAUACUGGCGGGCUCGAGCGAGGUAGGGGUCGUGGGAACUUCCGGUGGAGCGGUGAAAUGCGUUGAUAUCGGAAGGAACGCCGGUGGCGAAAGCGCACGACUGGACCUUUUCUGACGCUGAGGCGCGAAAGCCAGGGGAGCAAACGGG